rnacentral:rRNA from 1 species
UACGAAGGGGGCUAGCGUUGCUCGGAAUCACUGGGCGUAAAGCGCACGUAGGCGGACUCUUAAGUCGGUGGUGAAAUCCUGGAGCUCAACUCCAGAACUGCCUUUGAUACUGAGGAUCUUGAGUUCGGGAGAGGUGAGUGGAACUGCGAGUGUAGAGGUGAAAUUCGUAGAUAUUCGCAAGAACACCGGUGGCGAAGGCGGCUUCCUGGAACGGUACUGACGCUGAGACGCGAAAGCGUGGGGAGCAAACAGG